rnacentral:lncRNA from 1 species
UGCUAACUCUCUUGCAAAGAUUGCAUCUUGAUGGUUGAAAAUCUUCUUUUCUCUCAAGAUACUCUUAGAGAAGAAGAAAAAUAUAGGAGGAUGUUGAUCUCUACGCUAGAGAUCAUGAGAAGAAUCCUUUCAUCUCUUUUCUUCCUAAAAUUCAUGCACCAAAUCUCUACACUAGAGAUGUAAGAAUUUUAUCCAACUUUUGGAUAAAGAGAAGAGGAGAAACCCAUAUUCAAACAUGGACACAAGAGAGAGAGAUGUCCUAACUACCAACCUUUAGUUGUUGUAAGAAAGAAGGGAUAAGAACAUCCAACUUACCUCACACCUUGGACCAUCAUCCCACGAUCUCUCCCUUGUAAUUUUCCAUGCACAUCUUCCCUUUCUUAUGGCAUCAAAAAUCUGAUCUUAUCAAGUUGGUUGCCGCCCCUCUCUUGGUCCCUUGUUUAAAUAAAAGAGGGUUUGGUUUUGGGUAGGAGAUAAGAGACCAAACAACCUUGGACUCUUGUUUUUUGAUGCGGCUCACAACUCUAUUAUUUGCACCCUAUAUCACAUGGGAGAAAAGAGGAUGGCAUGAACUUAUUAUGUGCUAAAACAUCUC